rnacentral:rRNA from 1 species
UAGGGAAUCUUCCACAAUGGACGCAAGUCUGAUGGAGCAAUGCCGCGUGAGUGAAGAAGGGUUUCGGCUCGUAAAACCCUGUUGUUAAAGAAGAACAUAUCUGAGAGUAACUGUUCAGGUAUUGACGGUAUUUAACCAGAAAGCCACGGCUAACUACGUGCCAGCAGCCGCGGUAAUACGUAGAUGCCAGCAGCCGCGGUAAUACGUAGGUGCCAGCAGCCGCGGUAAUACGUACGUG